CAACUUUUAGGGGUGUGAGGGUAUACCUCAGGGGUAGUGCCCAUGCUUAGCAUGCAUAAGGUCCUUGGUUCAAUUCCCCAGUACUGCCGAUACAUAAAUAAACC